rnacentral:rRNA from 1 species
GACGAACGCUGGCGGCGUGCUUAACACAUGCAAGUCGAACGGAAAGGCCCUGCUUUGGUGGGGUGCUCGAGUGGCGAACGGGUGAGUAACACGUGAGUAACCUGCCAUUGACUUUGGGAUAACUUCAGGAAACUGAGGCUAAUACCGGAUAGGAGCUCCUGCUGCAUGGUGGGGGUUGGAAAGUUUCGGCGGUUGGGGAUGGACUAGCGGCUUAUGAGCUUGUUGGUUGGGUAGUGUCUUAGCAAGGCUUUGACGGGUAGCCGGCCUGAGCGGGUGACCGGCCACAUUGGGCCUGAGAUACGGCCCAGCCUCCUCCGGGAGGCAGCGGUGCAGUAUAUUGCACUAUGGGCGGAGCCCUGAUGUGGCCACGCCGCGUCGGGUAUGAGGGCCUUCGGUUUGUGUUGCGCUGUUGCCUGUGACGAAGCGUGAGUGACGGUAAUGGGUAAAGAAGCACCGGCUAACUACGUG